GUCAUCCAAUUGUCGUCAUGCCGUCAUCGUCAUACCGUCUUUCGUCGUUCCAUCAACAUCACUGCAUCAUCG
rnacentral:lncRNA from 1 species